GGAGGUCCCACAUCCAGUCUGCACAGUAUCCUUCAACGCCAGAGGAGAAGACACCAUAGCUUUUCUAAAAGAUCUAAGUGCCAGGACCCACGGCAGAUUCCACGCGUUUGCGGAGAGAACAGAGUGUCUGAAAUUCUCUGCCUUUGCCAUGGAGGACGUUGACAGCUCCCUGACUUGGAAUUCACGGAAACUGAAAGGGAGACAGCCUCCAGGUGACCAGUGGAAGACCUCAGUGUAUUGGAGAUGCCAGUGCCAUGGAUAAUCACCAAGAGCAGCAGCAAUGGAGUGGAUCAUCCUGAGCUUAGAGUGCUACAGAGGGCAGAGCUGGAGAAGCGACGCCAGCCUUCGGAGGAGCCCAGAAGAUCAUGUGUGGAUCCCAGACACUGAAAUAAGAAGCUGUAACACUGAAGAUUUUCGAGAUGCCAGAGCCAUAGGAUAGCUCCUGAGGAACCAGCCCAGGAGAAAGAAGUUUGUUGCAGUCAACAAAGAUAAAAAAGGAGUUGGAGAUCUGAAGACCACUUUGACGUCAGGCAUGGAGAUGCAGAAUCUGGACUUUGUCAAGGUGGUUACCUGUUUUGCUUUGGGGAUUACAGUUAAGUGAUUGGAUGGAUCUCACAGGAGACUUUGAACUUUGGACUUUUGGCCUUGUUGAGACUGCUAUAGGCUAUGGGGAUGUUGGAAGCUGGACUAAAUAUAUUUUGCAUUAUGAU
rnacentral:lncRNA from 1 species